CCUACGGGUGGCAGCAGUGGGGAAUAUUGCACAAUGGGCGCAAGCCUGAUGCAGCCAUGCCGCGUGUGUGAAGAAGGCCUUCGGGUUGUAAAGCACUUUCAGCGGGGAGGAAGGCGUUAAGGUUAAUAACCUUGGCGAUUGACGUUACCCGCAGAAGAAGCACCGGCUAACUCCGUGCCAGCAGCCGCGGUAAUACGGAGGGUGCAAGCGUUAAUCGGAAUUACUGGGCGUAAAGCGCACGCAGGCGGUCUGUCAAGUCGGAUGUGAAAUCCCCGGGCUCAACCUGGGAACUGCAUUCGAAACUGGCAGGCUAGGGUCUUGUAGAGGGGGGUAGAAGUCCAGGUGUAGCGGUGAAAUGCGUAGAGAUCUGGAGGAAUACCGGUGGCGAAGGCGGCCCCCUGGACAAAGACUGACGCUCAGGUGCGAAAGCGUGGGGAGCAAACAGGAUUAGAUACCCGGGUAGUC
rnacentral:rRNA from 1 species